rnacentral:rRNA from 1 species
AGAACGAACGCUGGCGGCAGGCCUCAAACAUGCAAGUCUAGGGGAUAGCAAUAUCACCGGCGGACGGGUGCGUAACGCGUGGGAAUGUACCUAUUGGUUCGGAACAACACAGGGAAACUUGUGCUAAUACCGAAUGUGCCCGUAAGGGGAAAGAUUUAUCGCCAAUAGAUCAGCCCGCGUUCGAUUAGCUAGUUGGUGAGGUAAUGGCUCACCAAGGCGACGAUCGAUAGCUGUUCUGAGAGGAAGAUCAGCCACACUGGGACUGAGACACGGCCCAGACUCCUACGGGAGGCAGCAGUUGGGAAUCUUGGACAAUGGGGGAAACCCUGAUCCAGCCAUGCCGCGUGAGUGAUGAAGGCCUUCGGGUUGUAAACUCUUUCGCGCACGACGAUAAUGACGGUAGUGCGAGAAGAAGCUCCGGCUAACUCGCGCCAGCAGCCGC